CUCGUAGGUGGCUCUGUAAGUAGGUGGUGAAAGCCCACGGCUCAACCGUGGAUACGCCUCCUAAACUGUGGAGCUUGAGGCUGGGAGAGGAAAUCGGAAUUCCUGGUGUAGCGGUGAAAUGCGUAGAUAUCAGGAGGAACACCGGUGGCGAAGGCGGAUUUCUGGACCAGUUCUGACACUGAGGAGCGAAAGCCAGGGAGCAAACA
rnacentral:rRNA from 1 species